UUUUUGCAAUAUACUGGAUUUUAAGGGCAACGUUGGUGUUAUUUGAAAUUUUUUUAUAAUUAGUAUUUUUGUUAUUAUGAGAUGAUAAAACAUGAAUAAUAUUUAUAUUUUUUAAAAAAAAUUCAAAUAAAACGGGCAGUCAAAGUUGAGCGCGAAAAAAUCAUGGCUGUAUUUAAA
rnacentral:pre_miRNA from 1 species